rnacentral:lncRNA from 1 species
AGGAAACAGCUACAACAAACAAACAAUUAUGGGGAUUUAAAGGUACGAUACCCACUGAUCUCCUCUCUCAGAGACACUACACCUGAAAACUCUACAGAGGAACUGCUAUGCUACCGGAGGCUAACUGUGACUGACUCUGCCCUUCACCAUUCACACACAGAGGGAUUCUCAAGGAACCUGGCGAGAACGUUUAAAAACACACGCUCGGAAAGGAGGAGUAAGACUGAAGCUCAUUCAAGUGCUCUCCUGCUCAAGGACCUGCCUCGAUCAUCACACAUCGUUUCCACAACAUUCCCAGAGUGCUUCUGUCACGUCAUAGCAACGUUUGCCCAUUUGUUAAAUGGUCCUUUAGCCAAAUACAGUGGCAAUUAUAUUUGUAUUUUGUAAUAAUAAAAAGUAACCCAGUGGGGGCUCUUCUCUCGGCUUCCUUGCACUACGUUUUUUUACCAGAGCUCUUUAAUUGAUGUUACUCUCAUGUAGCCUAUGCCUCCCAAUCCGUCAUUUCAAAGCUAUUUUGAUCAAAUUCUUUCAACUCUGCGCUGGACAUACCAAGGAGGGUCUUGGGUCAAAACUAGUGCACUACAUUGUGAAUAAGAUGCACAAUAUAGUGAAUAGGUCGCCAUUUGAGACAUAACCCAGAAAUACUAAUCUCCCUCCACUAGGUUGUCAGGAAUGGUCAAAGUUUUCCAUUCUAAAAUAACUUCUGUUGUCUGUUUAAAUAAUACAUGGUUUCCCUGCUAACUCCCAGCAAACGGUGUAAUGGUUGCGGUUUAGACGAGCUGUUGUGUUAAGUGGCCUUUGUUCAGGCUUAUGAGAUAUUUAGCAGAACAGAGCUGUGUUUGGGGGCGUAUUGGGGCGUAGAGGUUGGGAACACCAGGGGUUAGGCUGUAUGCUGGAUAUAGAACACGGAAGACUGUAUUCUAUAGCACUGACCUCAAGUAGUUAAGAGUACAUUGGUGGCCUACAUGGAGCCUUUGGGCUUGGUUAGUUUUCCAGACCAGGUUGGAGUGUAUACCUUGUACCCAGUGCACUGUACUUGGGGGAACUCGGUGCUCCACAACAAUUCAAAAAAGCAUGGCAUCCUCUCUUGGGCGCCCCAAUAAGCAUUAAACAUAUAAACAUUGAUUGGAUCCACAAUUUCUAUAGUAGUCACGAGUCACUGCCUAAAAACAAUGAGUCUGAAGCCUAAUCUCAGUUAGCUACUGUAUUCCUCCAUCUUUGUUGUUGAGUCCUCGUUGCCUCAGCAGAGCCCUGGCUUUUAACAGUGUUAUAUUCUAAUUCUGUUAGGGUUGGGUCUAUCUAUCUUAGCUCUCUGUGUGAAAGAUCACACUAUUUACAUAGAGUUGGUAAUACCUACUUAUCCCCCUUUAUACCCUUGGAGACGGAGUCUACGUCCCAAAUGGCACCCUAUUCCCUAUAUCGUGCACUACUUUUGACCAGGUUUCAUAGGGCUCUUGUCAAAAGUAGUGCACUAUGUAGGGGAAAUGGUGCCAUUUGGGACACAGACAGACAGACAGACAGACAGACAGACAGACAGCUAUUCAGGCGGCCAUGACAUCAAUGCUUUAUGUUGGAUGCUAUGCUUCAUGACAUGGUGGAACAGUGUGAGUAUUUGAAGAGUUUCCCAUCUCUCAGAGA